rnacentral:rRNA from 1 species
UACGUAGGGUGCGAGCGUUAAUCGGAAUUACUGGGCGUAAAGCGUGCGCAGGUGGUCAUGCAAGACAGAUGUGAAAUCCCCGGGCUUAACCUGGGAACUGCAUUUGUGACUGCACGGCUAGAGUGCGGCAGAGGGGGAUGGAAUUCCGCGUGUAGCAGUGAAAUGCGUAGAUAUGUGGAGGAACACCAAUGGCGAAGGCAGCCCCCUGGGUCAACACUGACGCUCAUGCACGAAAGCGUGGGGAGCAAACAGG